GACGAACGCUGGCGGCGUGCUUAACACAUGCAAGUCGAACGGAAAGGCCCUGCUUUUGUGGGGUGCUCGUGUGGCGAACGGGUGAGUAACACGUGAGUAACCUGCCCUUGACUUUGGGAUAACUUCAGGAAACUGGGGCUAAUACCGGAUAGGAGCUCCUGCUGCAUGGUGGGGGUUGGAAAGUUUCGGCGGUUGGGGCUGGACUCGCGGCUUAUCAGCUUGUUGGUGGGGUAGUGGCUUACCAAGGCUUUGACGGGUAGCCGGCCUGAGAGGGUGACCGGCCACAUUGGGACUGAGAUACGGCCCAGACUCCUACGGGAGGCAGCGGUGGGGAAUAUUGCACAAUGGGCGGAAGCCUGAUGCAGCAACGCCGCGUGCGGGAUGACGGCCUUCGGGUUGUAAACCGCUUUCGCCUGUGACGAAGCGUGCGUGACGGUAAUGGGUAAAGAAGCACCGGCUAACUACGUG
rnacentral:rRNA from 1 species